UUUUGUUCGCCGGAGAAACACGCGCACGCUUGUCGGGUCCGGAGACGCGGCCCGUCUUUCUACGCUGCCGUGCGGACCGACACGCAGGCCUACGUUCGCUACUUAACAAGUUUGGCAAAGUGAGGCUCCUCCUCCGCCAUUGUCCGGAUUUGGGAAUAUAAAAUAAAAGAGAGAAAGCACAGCGUGGCGACGCAAACGUCGCACGGGAGAGGAGCAUGAAAAAUGGAUGGGCUUUCCAUUUGAAUUCAAGGAGACAUCUCUAGGUUCUGAUUCAACCUAGCUCCAAAGCACAAUGCUGAAAUUCCAUUUUAAAGCAAUAAAACUGGCCACUGGAGGGCAGUAGCGCAUUUGGUAAGACCCCCCCCAACCCGAUUCAACGGAACAAAUGGCCGGGCCGCACAGCCGGGGCGCCAGCCGAAGACGACCGAAUGGACGUCCAGGAUGCCAGGCAGCGGACAACCGAGCAGAACAACCGGGAGGAUGCCCGGGGUGCCAGGCGCUGCACGACCUAGCAGAAUGACCGGGACCACCAGUGCAGCGGACGAUGCUGUUGAGUCCAUGCUGCUCGCCAAGCAGAACCCGCGCCACCGUGCUCGGCCGCUCGCGUCCCCCGCACCCUCCAGUGUCCCGCACGGAAACGCGCACGGCCAAACCAGUUCCCCCCCAGGAACACAAGUUCCCCAGGCGAACUCUGCCACGAGGCAGUGGUCACCACAAAAGAAAUACGUUAAAAAUCCAUUUUUAUGAGACAGGCGGCGAUGAGGGAAAAGUUUACCAACCGUGUCAUCUCUGUUAUGUGUAAAUACCGUAAUUUCCCGAAUCUAAGGCGCACCCGUGUAUAAUGCGCACCCCAAAUUUACUUGAAUCGUAAUCGAAUCGUUAGGUGCCCAAAGAUUCCCACCUCUAGUCAUUGUUAUAAACUUUAAACUAGGGCUGCAGCUAUCGAAUAUUUUAGUAAUCGAGUAAUCGACUGAAAAUUCUAUCGAUUAAUCGAGUAAUCGGAUAAAACAAAUAUAUUUUUAGGUGAAGAGCAAUUAUAAAUAUACAUGAGAAAACAAGACAUUAUCUAAUCUUGAACCAUUUUCAGUCAAUCAAUGUCUAUAUUUUCGAUGUAUAUUGUUGAAAACAGCCAACAAUUGCAUCUCAGAUGUAGCUAGAAUAAAAAAAAAAAUAAAAAAACUAAUUCACUGCUUUCACUCAAACAACUUUUAGAUCUUAUUUUUUUAAAAAUUAUAUAUAUUACCUAAAAAUGCCGUUACGCUUGAUAACACACAUCACUUAAAAGUUAGGAUUUUUUCCCACGUGUUUCAAUUGAAUUUCUCUUUGUGUCAAGCCAUUUUUAAGUUCUAGUUAAGUUUUAAGUUAGUCUAAACUGUAAGUCCUGAUAGAAUUUUGAGUUUUUGCAGUGUUCAAAAUAAAUGUAUGAUACAGGCUGUACUGGAGCACAUUAGGGACCAUUGCUACUUGGUGUUUUAUCCAGCAAUGACUACUGAGCUAAAAUUGAUAGUUAGCAUGAUAAAGUUUUUAUUUUACACCCUCAUCACUCCACAUUGCUAUGUUAUGUUAAAGCCUGUAUGUAAGACACGUUAGCCACGCAUCGACAGUGGUCAUAAUUAAUUGAAACCUAGCCCCCCGCAGGGCUAACUUUACGUGAGCUAGUAGCGACAGUAACGUUAAUCUUAUUUAUUAGCGCUUAGCACUGUACUGCUUUAAGAUGGCGGCUGUUUAAUAACGCUGCCCAGACGCGGUCGAGUCUGUCAUUGCGCAUCUAGUUCAACAUACAUGUGAUCUUUAUGAGACGCAUCAGACGCUAGCUGUUACCUACGUAGCAUCGUGCGGGCUAGUAUUUGGCAACGUCGGCGUCGUUUGUGGCGGCUGUCAGCUGCGGUAAGUUUUUUUUUUUUUUCCUUCUUCCUCCCCGCACGUGACAGCACGUUGUCCCGCAUUAAAAGUAGUACGAGCAAAACGUGAUGCUUAGAGCUGUCAAAAUAAACGAUUACUCGAGGUGAAUAAAAUUACUCGGAUCAGUUUUUAAACUCGAGUUACUCGAGUUGCUCGAGUACUCGUUUCAGCUCUACUUUAAACAUGUUGAGUCGUCAUAAAUCGGGUGCGCAGAAAAGAAAAAAAAAAAAGAUGGAGAUCAUAGAGGGGAACGAGAAAAAAAUGAAGCUUUUAAAAGGGGGACAAGAAGCCAGAGAAUUAGGGCUAGAGUUGGCUGUGGACUGAACGUUUUAGAUUCGCGAUCACCGUGACCAAAGCCCGAUUCGAGUCCGUCACGGGCCGCUUGUACCCUAUUGAGCUGCGGUAUGACGUAGAGCAGGGCGGUAAACCGAAAAUUUACCGUCACCGAAAUUCUUAACGAUGACCGACGUAAUUUUGACCAUGUCGGUAAAUUCGGUAAAUUAAUAAAACAAGAAAAUAUAGUCUUUUCAUCCCGCUUUGAUUCUGUGUUGUCCGUCUAUGUUCAUUCCCCUUUAAGAAACCGUCAAUGGGCUUACGUAGGGAGUCACGUGAUCAUCAAGGAGCCAAUCAAACAAAAGCCCAGUAAGCUAACGCUAGCAGCUAACGCUACAAGCAAAACGUGAUGGAGUGUGGCUUAAGGGAGGUUCACCAAACUUUUAACCGACAUUUAGUAGACUCUUGGUGGCAUCCAGACGGGCUUUCACCCGCUGUCCUCCCUGCUGUUCUCACAAUUUCCGGAGAUGGUGCUUUCAGUGCUUUCUACUGGUAGCCAGGCUAACGCUAGCUAGCGGCUAACGCUACAAAUGAACGUGAUGUAGUCGGAUAGCGGCUCUAACUUGUCGAAACGGCUGAACUUAAUGAGUGGAUUGGGCACGGACUGCAUCUAGCAAUUACUAUGUGGCAUUAUUUUGUAUCUGUCUGUGUGUGAUUCCUCUGAUAGCUUUUGUGAUGGUAAAGCAUUCAGCUUAAAGUACAAUCCAACGGCGAAACUUAUAAUGACCGAGAAAUGGCCCCAGCUAUUUUUCUGUAUGUGCUUAUUUCUGUGUCAUUAUUGCUAUCAUAAAAUCUUAAGCGUUUCAUUUGAAGAAGAUCAAUAUAGCUUUAAUGUGUGUGUGUCUCUCUCUGUUUGUUUGGGGUUUCAUUUGUGCGUGCAUUUAUUAAAAAAUGCACUGGGGGGGACCCUGAAACCAUAAUGUAAACACUUGUAUUUAAUAAUUAUGUCACAGCAGCCAUUAACAAGUUGUCUUUUUGAAGUGUACUGUUCAAGCUGCAAGUCAUUUGUGUUACAAUGACAUGUUUGCACAGGCAUAUUGAUUUUGAUAAUGUACAUUGUUCAAGUCAUACACGCCGUUAUAAAUGUUCAUACUUGAAUUCUUAUUGCUUACAUUACAUUUUUAUAAACUUAAUGUUUAGACUGCAUGUACAAUUGUUAAAUACAGUAUAUGAAAUUGAAUGCUGGUAAAUAAAUCAACAAGAAACAGUUAAUCUGUAUUUCAUGCAUUGAUUCAGAUUUUCAAAUUAUAUAACAGUACGCUUGGGCGAAUUUAUCGUCAUUUAUCGUUAUCGAGAUAAAUCUGCUCAAUUUAUCGUGAUACAUGUUUAAGGCCAUAUCGCCCAGCCCUAGUAUGACGUAAC